GUCUAGGUAGCUCAGAGCGGUAGAGCAGCGAGCGCAACGCGAACUCUCAUCCAUGCAGGUCGCGGGUUCGAUCCCCGCCCUAGACC
rnacentral:tRNA from 1 species